rnacentral:rRNA from 1 species
GGUUGGCUUAGAAGCAGCCAUCCUUUAAAGAAAGCGUAAUAGCUCACUGGUCUAGUGAUUUUGCGCGGAAAAUAUAACGGGGCUAAAGUAAGUACCGAAGCUGUAGACUUAGUUUACUAAGUGGUAGGAGAGCGUUCUAUUUGCGUCGAAGGUAUACCGGUAAGGAGUGCUGGAGCGAAUAGAAGUGAGCAUGCAGGCAUGAGUAGCGAUAAUUAAUGUGAGAAUCAUUAACGCCGUAAACCCAAGGUUUCCUACGCGAUGCUCGUCAUCGUAGGGUUAGUCGGGUCCUAAGUCGAGUCCGAAAGGGGUAGACGAUGGCAAAUUGGUUAAUAUUCCAAUACCAACAUUAGUGUGCGAUGGAAGGACGCUUAGGGCUAAGGGGGCUAGCGGAUGGAAGUGCUAGUCUAAGGUCGUAGGAGGUUAUACAGGCAAAUCCGUAUAACAAUACUCCGAGAACUGAAAGGCUUUUUGAAGUCUUCGGAUGGAUAGAAGAACCCCUGAUGCCGUCGAGCCAAGAAAAGUUUCUAAGUUUAGCUAAUGUUGCCCGUACCGUAAACCGACACAGGUGGGUGGGAUGAGUAUUCUAAGGCGCGUGGAAGAACUCUCUUUAAGGAACUCUGCAAAAUAGCACCGUAUCUUCGGUAUAAGGUGUGGUUAGCUUUGUAUUAGGAUUUACUCCGAAAGCAAGGAAACUUACAACAAAGAGUCCCUCCCGACUGUUUACCAAAAACACAGCACUCUGCUAACUCGUAAGAGGAUGUAUAGGGUGUGACGCCUGCCCGGUGCUCGAAGGUUAAUUGAUGGGGUUAGCAUUAGCGAAGCUCUUGAUCGAAGCCCGAGUAAACGGCGGCCGUAACUAUAACGGUCCUAAGGUAGCGAAAUUCCUUGUCGGUUAAAUACCGACCUGCAUGAAUGGCGUAACGAGAUGGGAGCUGUCUCAAAGAGGGAUCCAGUGAAAUUGUAGUGGAGGUGAAAAUUCCUCCUACCCGCGGCAAGACGGAAAGACCCCGUGGACCUUUACUACAGCUUGACACUGCUACUUGGAUAAGAAUGUGCAGGAUAGGUGGGAGGCUUUGAGUAUAUGACGCCAGUUGUAUAUGAGCCAUUGUUGAGAUACCACUCUUUCUUAUUUGGGUAGCUAACCAGCUUGAGUUAUCCUCAAGUGGGACAAUGUCUGGUGGGUAGUUUGACUGGGGCGGUCGCCUCCCAAAUAAUAACGGAGGCUUACAAAGGUUGGCUCAGAACGGUUGGAAAUCGUUCGUAGAGUAUAAAGGUAUAAGCCAGCUUAACUGCAAGACAUACAAGUCAAGCAGAGACGAAAGUCGGUCUUAGUGAUCCGGUGGUUCUGUGUGGAAGGGCCAUCGCUCAAAGGAUAAAAGGUACCCCGGGGAUAACAGGCUGAUCUCCCCCAAGAGCUCACAUCGACGGGGAGGUUUGGCACCUCGAUGUCGGCUCAUCGCAUCCUGGGGCUGGAGCAGGUCCCAAGGGUAUGGCUGUUCGCCAUUUAAAGCGGUACGCGAGCUGGGUUCAGAACGUCGUGAGACAGUUCGGUCCCUAUCUGCCGUGGGCGUAAGAAGAUUGAAGAGAUUUGACCCUAGUACGAGAGGACCGGGUUGAACAAACCACUGGUGUAGCUGUUGUUCUGCCAAGAGCAUCGCAGCGUAGCUAAGUUUGGAAAGGAUAAACGCUGAAAGCAUCUAAGCGUGAAGCCAACUCUAAGAUGAAUCUUCUCUAAGCUCUCUAGAAGACUACUAGUUUGAUAGGCUGGGUGUGUAAUGGAUGAAAGUCCUUUAGCUGACCAGUACUAAUAGAGCGUUUGGCUUAUCUUUAAUAAAGCAU